UACGUAGGCAGCAAGCGUUGUUCGGAAUUACUGGGCGUAAAGAGUGUGUAGGCGGUGCUCUAAGUUCGGUGUGAAAUCUCCCGGCUCAACUGGGAGGGUGCGCCGAAAACUGGAGUGCUGGAGCGCGGGAGAGGAAAGCGGAAUUCCUGGUGUAGCGGUGGAAUGCGCAGAUAUCAGGAGGAACACCGAUGGCGAAGGCAGAUCUCUGGGCCGUAACUGACGCUGAGGAGCGAAAGCGUGGGGAGCGAACAGG
rnacentral:rRNA from 1 species